AAAGUUUGGAUUAACGAGAACUAUAUCUUGGAUCUAACUCUCAGGAGCUCGUUGACUACAUCCCGUUCCUUUCAUCUCUCAUAUUGAAAAAGUGUUGAAUAAUUGUUAAGUAUUUUUAAUUUUGAUUAUGAAAAUGGCUUGAUGUUGGAUCAAGCAUUUGAUGAUUGAUUGCAAACGAAUUUAAAUAUAAUGGUUUGAAAGAUUUGGAAGAAAUGGAUAGAAAUGUAUGGUUGGAAAUGAUUGAAUUAUUAUUUGAGAAAAUACUCGACGUUGGAUCGAGUUUUAUUUUUG
rnacentral:lncRNA from 1 species